GGGGGCGUAGCUCAGCUGGUUAGAGCGUCGGCCUGUCACGCCGAAGGUCGCGGGUUCGAGUCCCGUCGCUCCCGCCA
rnacentral:tRNA from 1 species